AGAGUUGGAAAUGGUAAAGGGGACUACAGUAUAUCCAAAAUUAAAAGAACCAUGGGAUUGGCAUUUCACAUCUGCUCAGGACGGACCGAUCUGGAACCUUGCUAACCCCGGCGAACGUCCAAGUGUCUGUAAGCAAUCACUGCUGACUUGAUUGACAUGCCAGAGCAAAACAAUUCAUGCUGAUUGUCAAAGUGAAUUACAAUAUGAAGCUGGGGUGGGUAUGGGGUGAGAAAGAACAUGAGCGAGGGAGAGGCAUAUACUUUGAGUCGGAGUUCAGCUGCUGUCUCUAAUCAUUAAAACAUGCAUGUUUUAAUGAUUUAUAUUAGCUCAUAAUGAGCUCUGAUCUGGUGCUGUGUGUUAUCUCUCAACUUUGAAUGUGUACAUCUCUUUCCAGUGAUUUACGCCACGAAUUUAUUCUAAAGCACGCAUGGACACGUUCACUUACACUCUGGCGCUCUUCCAUAUAGCCAGCUGCUGAUAUGGUCCUCUUCGCCUGCAUUGUGCUGAGGUUGUUUAAGGUUUUGUGCUUGCUGUGUUAGUUUAGCAGUAAAUAAAC
rnacentral:lncRNA from 1 species